UACGUAGGUGGCAAGCGUUGUCCGGAAUUAUUGGGCGUAAAGCGCGCGCAGGCGGUCCUUUAAGUCUGAUGUGAAAGCCCACGGCUCAACCGUGGAGGGUCAUUGGAAACUGGGGGACUUGAGUACAGAAGAGAAGAGUGGAAUUCCACGUGUAGCGGUGAAAUGCGUAGAGAUCCGGAAGAACACCGGUGGCGAAGGCGGUUAGCUGGGCAGUUGCUGACACUGAGGCGCGACAGCGUGGGGAGCAAACAGG
rnacentral:rRNA from 1 species